rnacentral:tRNA from 1 species
GCCGGUGUGGCUCAGUUGGUAGAGCAGCGCUUUCGUAAAGCGAAGGUCGGGAGUUCAAGUCUCUCCACCGGCACCA